rnacentral:rRNA from 1 species
UACGUAGGGUGCAAGCGUUUGUCCGGAAUUAUUGGGCGUAAAGAGCUCGUAGGCGGUCUGUCGCGUCGAAUGUGAAACCCCGCGGCUCAACUGCGGGUCUGCAGUCGAUACGGGCAGGCUAGAGUUCGGUAGGGGAGACUGGAAUUCCUGGUGUAGCGGUGAAAUGUGCAGAUAUCAGGAGGAACACCGGUGGCGAAGGCGGGUCUCUGGGCCGAUACUGACGCUGAGGAGCGAAAGCGUGGGGAGCGAACAGG